UACAGAGGUCUCAAGCGUUGUUCGGAUUCAUUGGGCGUAAAGGGUGCGUAGGCGGCGCGGUAAGUCGGGUGUGAAAUCUCGGAGCUUAACUCCGAAACUGCAUUCGAUACUGCCGUGCUUGAGGACUGGAGAGGAGACUGGAAUUUACGGUGUAGCGGUGAAAUGCGUAGAUAUCGGAAGGAACAUCAGUGGCGAAAGCGGGCUUCCCGGACCAGCACCGACGUCAGGCACGAAAGCGUGGGGAGCAAACAGG
rnacentral:rRNA from 1 species